UACGUAGGUGGCAAGCGUUGUCCGGAAUUACUGGGUGUAAAGCGCACGUAGUCGGCUUUGCAAGUCGGGUGUGAAAUCCCCGGGCUCAACCUGGGAACUGCAUCCGAGACUGCAUUGCUAGAGUAUGGGAGAGGGAAGCGGAAUUUCUGGUGUAGCAGUGAAAUGCGUAGAUAUCAGAAGGAACAUCAGUGGCGAAGGCGGCUUCCUGGACCAAUACUGACGAUCAGGUGCGAAAGCGUGGGGAGCAAACAGG
rnacentral:rRNA from 1 species